UGACUCGUUAGCUCAGUCGGUAGAGCAACUGACUUUUAAUCAGUGGGUCGUAGGUUCGAAUCCUACACGGGUCAU
rnacentral:tRNA from 1 species